rnacentral:rRNA from 1 species
UUUAUUGGAGAGUUUGAUCCUGGCUCAGGAUGAACGCUGGCGGCGUGCCUAAUACAUGCAAGUCGAGCGAAUGGAUUAAGAGCUUGCUCUUAUGAAGUUAGCGGCGGACGGGUGAGUAACACGUGGGUAACCUGCCCAUAAGACUGGGAUAACUCCGGGAAACCGGGGCUAAUACCGGAUAACAUUUUGAACUGCAUGGUUCGAAAUUGAAAGGCGGCUUCGGCUGUCACUUAUGGAUGGACCCGCGUCGCAUUAGCUAGUUGGUGAGGUAACGGCUCACCAAGGCAACGAUGCGUAGCCGACCUGAGAGG